rnacentral:lncRNA from 1 species
UUCCAUCUCCCUCACCAGGCUGCGCAGUCUCUCUAUCUCAGAGGCCACGUUAGCCAUGUAAGAAAGCUCGCCCUCAAGCUUUGCCUCCCUCUCUUCCAUCUCCAUCACCAGGCUGCGCAGCCUCUCUAUCUCAGAGGCCUCAUUAGCCAUGUAAGCAAGCUGGCCCUCAAGCUUUGCCUCCCUCUCUUCCAUCUCCCUCACCAGGCUGCGCAGUCUCUCUAUCUCAGAGGCCUUGUUAGCCAUGUAAGCAAGCUCGCCCUCAAGCUUUGCCUCCCUCUCUUCCAUCUCUCUCACCAGGCUGCGCAGUCUCUCUAUCUCAGAGGCCUCGUUAGCCAUGUAAGCAAGCUCGCCCUCAAGCUUUGCCUCCCUUUCUUCCAUCUCUCUCACCAGGCUGCGCAGUCUCUCUAUCUCAGAGGCCUCGUUAGCCAUGUAAGCAUUGUACCGUGGCCGUCCAUUGACAUCAAACCGAUCACGUGGUAUAGGGAUGUCAAUGUCUCCUGACAGG